AACGAACGCUGGCGGCAGGCCUAACACAUGCAAGUCGAGCGAGACCUUCGGGUCUAGCGGCGGACGGGUUAGUAACGCGUGGGAACGUGCCCUUCUCUGCGGAAUAGCCACUGGAAACGGUGAGUAAUACCGCAUACGCCCUUCGGGGGAAAGAUUUAUCGGAGAAGGAUCGGCCCGCGUUAGAUUAGAUAGUUGGUGGGUAACGGCCUACCAAGUCUACGAUCUAUAGCUGGUUUUAGAGGAUGAUCAGCAACACUGGGACUGAGACGCGGCCCAGACUCCUACGGGAGGCAGCAGUGGGGAAUCUUAGACAAUGGGCGCAAGCCUGAUCUAGCCAUGCCGCGUGUGUGAUGAAGGUCUUAGGAUCGUAAAGCACUUUCGCCAGGGAUGAUAAUGACAGUACCUGGUAAAGAAACCCCGGCUAACUCCGUG
rnacentral:rRNA from 1 species